GAUGAACGCUGGCGGCGUGCUUAACACAUACAAGUCGAACGGGAAUGUUUCGCUGAUGCGAUUUCGGUCAAAUCUUGAAGCAUUUUAGUGGCGGACGGGUGAGUAACGCGUGGGUAACCUGCCCUGUACAGGGGGACAACAGUUGGAAACGACUGCUAAUACCGCAUAAGCGCACAGCUUCGCAUGAAGCAGUGUGAAAAACUCCGGUGGUACAGGAUGGACCCGCGUCUGAUUAGAUAGUUGGUGAGGUAACGGCCCACCAAGUCAACGAUCAGUAGCCGGCCUGAGAGGGCGAACGGCCACAUUGGGACUGAGACACGGCCCAAACUCCUACGGGAGGCAGCAGUGGGGAAUAUUGCACAAUGGGGGAAACCCUGAUGCAGCGACGCCGCGUGAGUGAAGAAGUAUUUCGGUAUGUAAAGCUCUAUCAGCAGGGAAGAAAACAAUGACGGUACCUGACUAAGAAGCCCCGGCUAACUACGUGCCAGCCGCCGCCGUAA
rnacentral:rRNA from 1 species